AGAACUAAGCUGGCACCACUUUUUUGAGAAUUUUUAAAGCUCUGUAUACAUGAAGGACCUAGAAUGUGUCAUUUUCAGGAUUUUUUGGAAUUGAUCCAUCAUCAGGGAUAAUCAUUCCAUAAUAAAGUUAGCUAGCACUUGGUCUUUGAUUACAAUUCGAGGUAGGUACUGAAUAUCAAACUCACUGAGCUUUAUGAUCCAUUUAGCAAUCCGACCUGAUGUAUCAACUCGCUGUAAUAUCGAUCUCAGUAAUUGAUAGGUCAAUACUAUAACCAUAUGAGCUUGGAAAUAUGGCUGAAGUCGUUGGGCC
rnacentral:lncRNA from 1 species